AGCUUUAAGAAUUUAUUUAAGGUUUAACCUGCCCAAUGCGUAAAGCAAAAGUGAAUGGCCGCGGUACCCUGACCGUGCUAAGGUAGCGUAAUCAGUUGGCUUUUAAAUGGAGUCAGGAAUGAAUGGAAAAACUGGGUUCAGCUGUCUUUAAAUUAUUUUAUUGAAUUUACCUUUUAGGUGAAAAGGCCUAAACUGAGAAAAGGGACGAGAAGACCCUUAGAAUUUUUUUUAAUGGGAAAGUAUUAUUCUAAUAAUUUUGUUGGGGCGACAAAUAGACAUAUUAAAACUUUAAGUUUUGUACUUGCCGAUUUUUAUAAGGAAGAAUAAAUUACCUGAGGGAUAACAGCAUAAUUCUAUAGAAGAGUUUGUGACCUCGAUGUUGGACUAGGAAACUAGCAAGCUAGCCGUUUGUUGUGUGUGUUCUGUUCGAACUGGAAAUCCU
rnacentral:rRNA from 1 species